GGCGGAGGGCCACCACCAUCUCCACUGAGUGACAUUGAGUAUAAGGUGGUGUCCCUCAUUCCAUCAGUACAAAUCAAUGGUUGCACAGGGGGGCUGGAUAGUGAAGACUUGUCAGCCUUCUCAGGAUUGGGCAGUGUGU